UACAGAGGUCUCAAGCGUUGUUCGGAUUCAUUGGGCGUAAAGGGUGCGUAGGCGGCGCGGUAAGUCGGGUGUGAAAUUUCGAGGCUUAACUUCGAAACUGCAUUCGAUACUGCCGUGCUUGAGGACUGGAGAGGAGACUGGAAUUUACGGUGUAGCGGUGAAAUGCGUAGAUAUCGUAAGGAAGACCAGUGGCGAAGGCGGGUCUCUGGACAGUUCCUGACGCUGAGGCGCGAAAGCGUGGGGAGCGAUCCGG
rnacentral:rRNA from 1 species